rnacentral:ncRNA from 1 species
AACGAGUAUAUAGCCUUGGCCCACAGGCCCGGGUAAUCUUGGGAAAUUUCAUCGUGAUGGGGAUAGAUCAUUGCAAUUGUUGGUCUUCAACGAGGAAUGCCUAGUAAGCGCGAGUCAUCAGCUCGCGUUGACUACGUCCCUGCCCUUUGUACACACCGCCCGUCGCUCCUACCGAUUGAAUGGUCCGGUGAAGUGUUCGAAUCGCGGCGACGGGGGCGGUUCGCCGCCCCCGACGUUGCGAGAAGUCCAUUGAACCUUAUCAUUUAGAGGAAGGAGAAGUCGUAACAAGGUUUCCGUAGGUGAACCUGCGGAAGGAUCAUUG